GGGAAGUCAGUGUAUAUGAUUUAUAUUUCAAAGUAUGCUGGUAAACUAUUGAGAUUUUUACAGAAACUAAACCAUUUGUGUGACACUGCAACUAAAUCUUUACAAGUAGUUUUUAACUGCAGAUUUAGACCUCAUAUUGAAAACUGUUAGUAAAUCCUCUCCGUUUAUCUAGUAUCACAGCUUAAUAUAAGUUCUUGCCGAAUCAACGCCAAUUCAAAUGUUAGCUGCCCCAACUCAACAAAGAAACACACAGUUUCAAUGUCUAUGCUGAAAAGCCAGAAACUUGGGUAAUUAACGCUGCUGUCACAGAACUAAUGGACCGCUAAUGCCAACUUGUUUUGAAUCCGCUGCUUCUGAGAGUUGAUCUGAGAAAGCAGGGCCUUGAUCUGACUUCCUGUAAGAGUCUCAUGCUCCAACAAGGCACUAGCUACAGUAUGAAGCUCCUUCCUAUGAGUCAUCACAAUUCUUUUCGCAUUAUUGUAAGCCAUUUCAAGAAGCCUCCUCACUUCUUUCUCAAUAAGAAGUCUAGUAUCAGAACUCAAGUUUGUUGCAUCAUCAUCAUAGUUAAGGAAAACAAGCCCGUUAUCCUUGCCCAUGCCAUACUUUGUCACCAUUGCUCUUGCCAGAGAGGUUGCCUGCUCAAAGUCAGAUGAUGCACCUGAAGUAACUUCAUCUUCUCCAAAAGUGAGUUCCUCUGCAACACGACCACCCAUAAAAACAACAAGCAGAGCAAGCAUCUGUUUUUGUGAGAUGCUCAUCUCAUCCAUGUCUGGUAACUGAGCAACCAAGCCAAAAGAAUUCCCUCGUGGGGUAAUUGUUGCCUUAUAAACUGGGAGGGCUCCAUCUGCGUGGAUUGCUGCUAUUGCAUGGCCACUCUCAUGAAAAGCAGUCAGAUUGCGAUACUUUUCAGAUAUCAUGGCAGAUUUCCGUUCAGUUCCCAGGAUGAUCUUGUCCUUUGCAUACUCCAAAUGGGCCAUUGUUACUUCUUCAGCACCAUCAAUUGCCGCCUUGAGAACAGCAGAAUUGACCAAAUUAGCAAGCUCAGCCCCAGAGAACCCAAGUGUUCCUCUGGCAAUGAUUGUCAGAUCAACAUCACCUCCCCUAGGUACCUUUGACAUGUGAACUUCCAAGAUCUGCCGCCGUCCUUCAAAAUCAGGUUUGGGGACAACAACAUGACAGUCAAACCGUCCUGGCCUUACCAGUGCUUUAUCCAAUGACUCCACAAAAUUGGUUGCAGCAAGCACAACUAUUCCUUCAUUUUGUUUGAAGCCAUCCAUUUCAAUUAGCAGCUGAUUCAAAGUCAUUCUAAAGCGCUGUGGUUCAUCUGGGCUCCGAGCUCCUCCAAUAGCAUCUAAUUCAUCAAUGAAUAUAAUACAAGGUGACUGCUUCUUUGCUGCUGAAAAAAGUUUCCUGAUCCUCCUUGCUCCCACACCCACAUAAAGCUCUUCAAACUCACUACCACUAGAUGAGAAGAAGGGCACACCAACUUCU
rnacentral:misc_RNA from 1 species